rnacentral:rRNA from 1 species
CGGUAAUACCAGCUCUCCGAGUGGUGUGGACGUUUAUUGGGCCUAAAGCAUCCGUAGCUGGCUGAACAAGUCCCCUGUUAAACCCACCGAUUUAAUCGUUGGAUUGCGGGGGAUACUGCUUGGCUAGGGGACGAGAGAGGCAGACGGUAUUUCCGGGGUAGGGGUGAAAUCCUAUAAUCCCGGGAAGACCACCAGUGGCGAAGGCUGUCGGCUAGAACGCG